GCCAAAGAGCGCAGCAUGUUUACCUGGUUUCCUAAGGACAUUCUGGAUAAGGUGGAGCACGAGAAGCUUGCAAUGCAGAAUCACAUUAAAGGUCUAUCUCCACAGACUUGGAGAAACACACAGAGCCUUAGAGAUUUCUUUGACGUGCUAACUACA